rnacentral:snRNA from 1 species
UGGAGAAAAACCUUUGAAAAUUUUAAAUGUGUUCUCCCAUGGUGAGGCUCAGCCAUUGCACUCUGGAAGGCGCUGACCUAUGCGAUUUCUCUAAAUGUGGGAAUCUCGA